AGCAGUCGCCGCGGUAAUACGAAGGGUGCAAGCGUUAAUCGGAAUUACUGGGCGUAAAGCGUGCGUAGGCGGUUUGUUAAGUCUGCUGUGAAAUCCCCGGGCUCAACCUGGGAAUGGCAGUGGAUACUGGCAAGCUAGAGUGUGUCAGAGGAUGGUGGAAUUCCCGGUGUAGCGGUGAAAUGCGUAGAGAUCGGGAAGAACACCAGUGGCGAAGGCGGCUCACUGGCUCAUUCUAGACGCUGAGGUGCGAAAGCGUGGGGAGCAAACAGGAUUAGAUACCCGGGUAGUCCCUGUCUCUUAUAC
rnacentral:rRNA from 1 species